AGUGACAGGAAAAAUAAAUUAUUUGACAAUAUAAUGUCAAUCACUUUAUCUCGAUAUCUUAAGAUUUAUUUGAUGAAUAAUGGUUAUCAUUGAAUAAUAUUUAUUUCAGUAACAUGGCUUUUGGAUAGUGAGUUGGAAAGAGAGAUAUUAAUUUACAUAAUUUUAGGAGUUUGCUCGUAAUUUGCAUUCUAAUAUAUAGCAUACAUUUCUGUGUGCAGUAUAUACUACAGAUCACAGACACAGAGAAAAUAAACACGACAUCAAUGUUAGUAUACAAAUAUGAAAAUGAUGCAAAUCCAGAAAACAUGAUUCAAUAUGAUUAAAAAUCAUUAAAUAAU